CGGGAGGCAGCAGUUAGGAAUCUUCCACAAUGGGCGAAAGCCUGAUGGAGCGACGCCGCGUGAGGGAUGAAGGCCCUCGGGUUGUAAACCUCUAAAAGGGGGACGAUAAUGACGGUACCCCUUGAAAAGCACCGGCUAACUCCGUGCCAGCAGCCGCGGUAAUACGGAGGGUGCAAGCGUUAUCCGGAAUCACUGGGCGUAAAGGGCGUGUAGGCGGCCUGUUAAGUCCGGUGUUAAAGACCGGGGCUCAACCCCGGCACGGCGUUGGAUACUGGCAGGCUAGACGGCUGGAGAGGAAAGUGGAAUUACCAGUGUAGCGGUGGAAUGCGUAGAUACUGGUAGGAACACCCAUUGCGAAGGCAGCUUUCUGGACAGCCCGUGACGCUGAGGCGCGAAAGUGUGGGGAGCAAACCGGAUUAGAUACCCGGGUAGUCCACACCCUAAAC
rnacentral:rRNA from 1 species